rnacentral:rRNA from 1 species
CGUGGGGAACCUGCCCCAUAGUCUGGGAUACCACUUGGAAACAGGUGCUAAUACCGGAUAAGAAAGCAGAUCGCAUGAUCAGCUUUUAAAAGGCGGCGUAAGCUGUCGCUAUGGGAUGGCCCCGCGGUGCAUUAGCUAGUUGGUAAGGUAAAGGCUUACCAAGGCGAUGAUGCAUAGCCGAGUUGAGAGACUGAUCGGCCACAUUGGGACUGAGACACGGCCCAAACUCCUACGAGAGGCAGCAGGG